GGCUCAUUAAAUCAGUUAUCGUAUAUUUGAUAGUACCUACUACAUGGAUAACCGUGGUAAUUCUAGAGCUAAUACAUGCUUAAAAUCCCGACUUCGGAAGGGAUGUAUUUAUUAGAUUAAAAACCAAUGCCCUUCGGGGCUCACUGGUGAUUCAUAAUAACUUCUCGAAUCGCAUGGCCUUGUGCCGGCGAUGGUUCAUUCAAAUUUCUGCCCUAUCAACUUUCGACGGCUGGGUCUUGGCCAGCCGUGGUUACAACGGGUAACGGAGGGUUAGGGCUUGACCCCGGAGAAGGAGCCUGAGAAACGGCUACUACAUCCAAGGAAGGCAGCAGGCGCGCAAAUUACCCAAUCCCGACACGGGGAGGUAGUGACAAUAAAUACUGAUACAGGGCUCUUUUGGGUCUUGUAAUUGGAAUGAGUACAAUUUAAAUCCCUUAACGAGGAACAAUUGGAGGGCAAGUCUGGUGCCAGCAGCCGCGGUAAUUCCAGCUCCAAUAGCGUAUAUUAAAGUUGUUGCAGUUAAAAAGCUCGUAGUUGAACCUUGGGCCUGGCUGGCCGGUCUGCCUCACCGCAUGCACUGGUCCGGCCGGGCCUUUCCCUCUGGGGAUCCGCAUGCCCUUCACUGGGUGUGUCGGGGAACCAGGACUUUUACUGUGAAAAAAUUAGAGUGUUCAAAGCAGGCCUAUGCUCGAAUACAUUAGCAUGGAAUAAUAGAAUAGGACGUUGCGGUUCUAUUUUGUUGGUUUCUAGGACCGCCGUAAUGAUUAAUAGGGACAGUCGGGGGCGUCAGUAUUCAAUCGUCAGAGGUGAAAUUCUUGGAUCGAUUGAAGACUAACUACUGCGAAAGCAUUCGCCAAGGAUGUUUUCAUUAAUCAGGAACGAAAGUUAGGGGAUCGAAAACGAUCAGAUACCGUUGUAGUCUUAACCAUAAACUAUGCCGACUAGGGAUCGGGCGAUGUUAUUUCUUGACUCGCUCGGCACCU
rnacentral:rRNA from 1 species